rnacentral:tRNA from 1 species
AUGGGGCGUAGCCAAGCGGUAAGGCAGCGGAUUUUGAUUCCGCCAUUCGGAGGUUCGAUCCCUCCCGCCCCA